rnacentral:rRNA from 1 species
GGUUAAGCUACAAAGGGCGCACGGUGGAUGCCUUGGCGCUAGGAGCCGACGAAGGACGUGGCGAACGACGAAAUGCUUCGGGGAGCUGUAAGCGAGCUUUGAUCCGAAGAUGUCCGAAUGGGGAAACCCACUAUCCGUAAUGGGGUAGUACUCCUGUCUGAAUACAUAGGACAGGGAGAGGCAGACCAGGGGAACUGAAACAUCUAAGUACCCUGAGGAAUAGAAAACAAUAGUGAUUCCGUCAGUAGCGGCGAGCGAACGCGGAACAGCCCAAACCAGAAGGUUCGCCUUCUGGGGUUGUAGGGCGUCUCACAUAGGAGUUACAAAGGACAGUCAUAGAUGAAGCGGUCUGGAAAGGCCCGUCACAGAAGGUAACAACCCUGUAGUCGAAAUGACUGUCUCUCCGAGACGUACCCUGAGUAGGGCGGGACACGUGAAACCCCGUCUGAAUCCGGGAGGACCAUCUCCCAAGGCUAAAUACUACCUAGCGACCGAUAGUGAACCAGUACCGUGAGGGAAAGGUGAAAAGCACCCCGGGAGGGGAGUGAAAGAGAACCUGAAACCGUGUGCCUACAACUAGUCGGAGCACUAUUACUGUGUGACGGCGUGCCUUUUGUAGAAUGAACCGGCGAGUUACGAUUACGUGCGAGGUUAAGGCGGAUAGGCCGGAGCCGCAGCGAAAGCGAGUCUGAAUAGGGCGAAUGAGUACGUAGUCGUAGACCCGAAACCGUGUGAUCUACCCAUGUCCAGGGUGAAGGUGCGGUAACACGCACUGGAGGCCCGAACCCACGCACGUUGAAAAGUGCGGGGAUGAGGUGUGGGUAGCGGAGAAAUUCCAAUCGAACUCGGAGAUAGCUGGUUCUCCCCGAAAUAGCUUUAGGGCUAGCCUCGGAUGCCUGUACUGGAGGUAGAGCACUGAUUGGACGCGGGCCCCUCGCGGGGUACCAAAUUCAGUCAAACUCCGAAUGCCAGAUACAGUCGGUCCGGGAGUCAGACUGCGAGUGCUAAGAUCCGUAGUCAAAAGGGAAACAGCCCAGAUCACCAGCUAAGGUCCCUAAAUCUACGCUAAGUGGGAAACGAUGUGGAGUUGCCCAGACAACCAGGAUGUUGGCUUAGAAGCAGCCACCAUUUAAAGAGUGCGUAAUAGCUCACUGGUCGAGUGACUCUGCGCGGAAAAUGUAACGGGGCUAAGCGUAGUACCGAAGCUGUGGAUUGACACCGUUGGUGUCAGUGGUAGGGGAGCGUUCCUGCAGCAGUGAAGUCAGACCGGAAGGACUGGUGGAGCGGCAGGAAGUGAGAAUGCCGGUGUAAGUAGCGAAAAGAAAGGUGAGAAUCCUUUCCGCCGAAAGCCUAAGGGUUCCUGAGGAAGGCUCGUCCUCUCAGGGUUAGUCGGGACCUAAGCCGAGGCUGAAAAGCGUAGGCGAUGGACAACAGGUUGAAAUUCCUGUACUACCUCCACUCCGUUUGAGCAACGGGGGGACGCAGGAGGGUAGGGUGAGCAGACUGCUGGUUAUGUCUGUCCAAGCAGUGAGGCGUGUGUAUAGGCAAAUCCGUACACU